ACUCGGGCACGACCCGCGCUCAUGCGCUCGGGACCGACCCGAUGUGAUCAACCUAAGGGA
rfam:Corynebacterium urealyticum DSM 7109 complete genome